ACCAUCAUAGCUCAGUGGCAGAGCACUGGUCUUAAACCAGGUGCCGUGAGUUCGAUCCUCACUGGUGGCU